UCAUUUUUUCGUUUUUCUUCAUCUUUUUUCUCUCUCAAAUUGAAAAAGAGCCACCACCAUCUUCUUUUAUUUAUUGUUCUUCAACCGCCACAACUAACCCUUCCACCACCAGCAAGUGACCUCCUAUACACCUUAAACGUCGCCCUCUCACUCCUCCUCUCUUCCGCUCCCGUGAUCAUCGUUGAAAAUCACCGUGGAUCUUCUCCUCCCCCG
rnacentral:lncRNA from 1 species